UGGCCUCUGCCAGGGCUCACACAGUGGCAUAUGCCCAACUCUGUGGUCAUGAAGUCUCACAGGACAAUAAUACCUGAAGGUGCUCCUUUCCAGAAAAGAAAUCCUAGCAGCAGAGCUGGUUUAGAGGCUGUGGCAUUGACAUCUCUUCCAAAAGUCCUAAGCCAUGUUGCGGCAAAGAGCACCGCUCACUGAGAGAGGAGAGAAGAGAGCACAGCACACUCGGCGUCCCUGAGUCCUGAGAGAUUGGCAGCAGAUGUGGGUGGAGACAUUUCUGGAGAGAGGAGGUAGCUCCAAGAUGAAAAGUUCAGCCAACAUUUAUUUGAGGGUGGCGGAUGAUCUACAGCAAGAGCGUGGAGGUCGGAGGACGACUUCUGGGAGUCAGUCCUCUCCUUCCACCGCGUGGGUCAUGGAGAUCAACCUCAGGUCACCAAACUUCGGCAGCAAGCUCCGUUAUCUGCUGAGCCACCCCGCCAGCCUAAUAGGAAAUUUUAAACACAUAAAACAAAUAA